rnacentral:lncRNA from 1 species
AAACUCUAUUGCCCUCUUUGGGAUCCCCACCUAACACCACCUCUAGUAUUUGCCUUACUCUGAAACAGUUUUCUCGCGGUGUGGCUCACAGGACAGCUGCACCAGCAGUGAUUGAGGACUUGCUAGGAAUCCAAGUUCUCAGGCUCCAUCCCAGACCUACUGAAUCAGAUACGGGAGUGGACUCCGCAGUAUUUUUACAACAAGCCCUCCAAGGGAUUCUGAUGUACCUUAAUUUGGGAUGCCACUGCUCUGUACAUUGGCCUGUGA